rnacentral:rRNA from 1 species
UCUUAGUGGCGGACGGGUGAGUAACACGUGAGCAACCUGCCUCUAAGAACGGGAUAGCUUCUGGAAACGGAUGGUAAUACCGUAUAAUGUAUUGGGAAGGCAUCUUUCUAAUACCAAAGAUUUAUCGCUUAGAGAUGGGCUCGCGUCUGAUUAGCUAGAUGGUGAGGUAACGGCCCACCAUGGCGACGAUCAGUAGCCGGACUGAGAGGUUGAACGGCCACAUUGGGACUGAGACACGGCCCAGACUCC